rnacentral:rRNA from 1 species
CCUACGGGAGGCUGCAGUGGGGAAUAUUGCACAAUGGGGGAAACCCUGAUGCAGCGACGCCGCGUGAGUGAAGAAGUAAUUCGUUAUGGAAAGCUCUAUCAGCAGGGAAGAAAAUGACGGUACCUGAGUAAGAAGCCCCGGCUAACUACGUGCAAGCAGCCGCGGUAAUACGUAGGGGGCCAGCGUUAUCCGGAUUUACUGGGUGUAAAGGGAGCGUAGACGGCAGUGCAAGUCUGGAGUGAAAGGCUGGGGCUCAACCCCCGGACUGCACUGGAAACUGUACGGCUGGAGUGCAGGAGAGGUAAGUGGAAUUCCUAGUGUAGCGGCGAAAUGCGUAGAUAUUAGGAGGAACACCAGUGGCGAAGGCGGCUUACUGGACUGUAACUGACGUUGAGGCUCGAAAGCGUGGGGAGCAAACAGGAUUAGAUACCCGAGUAGUC